AACGACUCUCGGCAACGGAUAUCUCGGCUCUCGCAUCGAUGANNNNNNNNGCGAAAUGCGAUACUUGGUGUGAAUUGCAGAAUCCCGUGAACCAUCGAGUCUUUGAACGCAAGUUGCGCCCGAAGCCAUUAGGCCGAGGGCACGUCUGCCUGGGCGUCACGC
rnacentral:rRNA from 1 species